UUCGCCAGGGAUGAUAAUGACAGUACCUGGUAAAGAAACCCCGGCUAACUCCGUGCCAGCAGCCGCGGUAAUACGGAGGGGGUUAGCGUUGUUCGGAAUUACUGGGCGUAAAGCGCGCGUAGGCGGAUCGGAAAGUUGGGGGUGAAAUCCCGGGGCUCAACCCCGGAACUGCCUCCAAAACUAUCGGUCUAGAGUUCGAGAGAGGUGAGUGGAAUUCCGAGUGUAGAGGUGAAAUUCGUAGAUAUUCGGAGGAACACCAGUGGCGAAGGCGGCUCACUGGCUCGAUACUGACGCUGAGGUGCGAAAGUGUGGGGAGCAAACAGGAUUAGAUACCCUGGUAGUCCACACCGUAAACGAUGAAUGCCAGUCGUCGGGCAGUAUACUGUUCGGUGACACACCUAACGGAUUAAGCAUUCCGCCUGGGGAGUACGGUCGCAAGAUUAAAACUCAAAUGAAUUGACGGGG
rnacentral:rRNA from 1 species